rnacentral:rRNA from 1 species
GACGAACGCUGGCGGCGUGCUUAACACAUGCAAGUCGAACGGAAAGGCCCUGCUUGCAGGGUACUCGAGUGGCGAACGGGUGAGUAACACGUGGGUGAUCUGCCCUGCACUUCGGGAUAAGCCUGGGAAACUGGGUCUAAUACCGGAUAGGAGCCAUUUUUAGUGUGAUGGUUGGAAAGUUUUUUCGGUGUGGGAUGAGCUCGCGGCCUAUCAGCUUGUUGGUGUGGUAAUGGCCUACCAAGGCGGCGACGGGUAGCCGGCCUGAGAGGGUGGACGGCCACAUUGGGACUGAGAUACGGCCCAGACGCCUAAGGGAGGCAGAAGUGGGGAAGAUUGCACAAUGGGCGCAAGCCGGAUGCAGCGACGCCGCGUGGGGGAUGACGGCCUUCGGGUUGUAAAAUCCUUUCGCUAGGGACGAAGCUUUUUGUGACGGUACCUAGAUAAGAAGCACCGGCUAACUACGUG